GACGUAGGGCGCGAGCGUUGUCCGGAUUUAUUGGGCGUAAAGAGCUCGUAGGCGGCUUGUCGCGUCGACUGUGAAAACCCGCGGCUCAACCGUGUGGUCUGCAGUCGAUACGGGCAGGCUAGAGUUCGGUAGGGGAGACUGGAAUUCCUGGUGUAGCGGUGAAAUGCGUAGAUAUCAGGAGGAACACCGGUGGCGAAGGCGGCAUCCUGGACCGAGAUUGACGCUGAUGCGCGAAAGCCAGGGGAGCAAACGGG
rnacentral:rRNA from 1 species